AACCCAUGCAUUGGACACUUUUGUAGUAAUUCUUUAAAUAUUUCCCAUGUUUCAUACAAGCUUUCAUCCUCCAUUUGCUUGAAUGAAGUUAUAUCAUUUUGGAGUUU